AAAUUGAAGAGUUUGAUCAUGGCUCAGAUUGAACGCUGGCGGCAGGCCUAACACAUGCAAGUCGAACGGUAACAGGAAGCAGCUUGCUGCUUUGCUGACGAGUGGCGGACGGGUGAGUAAUGUCUGGGAAACUGCCUGAUGGAGGGGGAUAACUACUGGAAACGGUGGCUAAUACCGCAUAACGUCGCAAGACCAAAGAGGGGGACCUUCGGGCCUCUUGCCAUCAGAUGUGCCCAGAUGGGAUUAGCUAGUUGGUGAGGUAACGGCUCACCAAGGCGACGAUCCCUAGCUGGUCUGAGAGGAUGACCAGCCACACUGGAACUGAGACACGGUCCAGACUCCUACGGGAGGCAGCAGUGGGGAAUAUUGCACAAUGGGCGCAAGCCUGAUGCAGCCAUGCCGCGUGUAUGAAGAAGGCCUUCGGGUUGUAAAGUACUUUCAGCGGGGAGGAAGGUGUUGUGGUUAAUAACCACAGCAAUUGACGUUACCCGCAGAAGAAGCACCGGCUAACUCCGUGCCAGCAGCCGCGGUAAUACGGAGGGUGCAAGCGUUAAUCGGAAUUACUGGGCGUAAAGCGCACGCAGGCGGUCUGUCAAGUCGGAUGUGAAAUCCCCGGGCUCAACCUGGGAACUGCAUUCGAAACUGGCAGGCUUGAGUCUUGUAGAGGGGGGUAGAAUUCCAGGUGUAGCGGUGAAAUGCGUAGAGAUCUGGAGGAAUACCGGUGGCGAAGGCGGCCCCCUGGACAAAGACUGACGCUCAGGUGCGAAAGCGUGGGGAGCAAACAGGAUUAGAUACCCUGGUAGUCCACGCCGUAAACGAUGUCUACUUGGAGGUUGUGCCCUUGAGGCGUGGCUUCCGGAGCUAACGCGUUAAGUAGACCGCCUGGGGAGUACGGCCGCAAGGUUAAAACUCAAAUGAAUUGACGGGGGCCCGCACAAGCGGUGGAGCAUGUGGUUUAAUUCGAUGCAACGCGAAGAACCUUACCUGGUCUUGACAUCCACAGAAGAAUCCAGAGAUGGAUUUGUGCCUUCGGGAACUGUGAGACAGGUGCUGCAUGGCUGUCGUCAGCUCGUGUUGUGAAAUGUUGGGUUAAGUCCCGCAACGAGCGCAACCCUUAUCCUUUGUUGCCAGCGGUCCGGCCGGGAACUCAAAGGAGACUGCCAGUGAUAAACUGGAGGAAGGUGGGGAUGACGUCAAGUCAUCAUGGCCCUUACGACCAGGGCUACACACGUGCUACAAUGGCGCAUACAAAGAGAAGCGACCUCGCGAGAGCAAGCGGACCUCAUAAAGUGCGUCGUAGUCCGGAUUGGAGUCUGCAACUCGACUCCAUGAAGUCGGAAUCGCUAGUAAUCGUGGAUCAGAAUGCCACGGUGAAUACGUUCCCGGGCCUUGUACACACCGCCCGUCACACCAUGGGAGUGGGUUGCAAAAGAAGUAGGUAGCUUAACCUUCGGGAGGGCGCUUACCACUUUGUGAUUCAUGACUGGGGUGAAGUCGUAACAAGGUAACCGUAGGGGAACCUGC
rnacentral:rRNA from 1 species